CGCGUAGGCGGCAAGGCAAGUCAGAUGUGAAAUCCCCGGGCUCAACCUGGGAAUUGCAUCUGAAACUGCAGUGCUUGAGUCCUGGAGGGGAUAGUGGAAUUCCCAGUGUAGCGGUGAAAUGCGUAGAUAUUGGGAGGAACACCUGCGGCGAAGGCGGCUAUCUGGAUAGUGACUGACGCUGAUGCGCGAAAGCCAGGGGAGCGAACG
rnacentral:rRNA from 1 species